rnacentral:rRNA from 1 species
UACGUAGGGGGCAAGCGUUGUCCGGAUUUAUUGGGCGUAAAGAGCGUGUAGGCGGUUCGGUAGGUCCGCUGUGAAAACUCGAGCUCAACCUCGAGACGCCGGUGGAAACCAUCAGACUAGAGUCCGGAAAGAGGAGAGUGGAAUUCCUGGUGUAGCGGUGAAAUGACGCAGAGUAUCAGGAAGAACACCCGUGGCUAAGGCGGCUCUCUAGUACGGUACUGACGCUGAGACGCGAAAGCGUGGGGAGCGAACAGG